CCCUUAGAUGUUCUGGGCCGCACGCGCGCUACACUGAUGCAUUCAACGAGUCUAAAACCUGCUCUGAUAGGGGUGGGUAAUCUUUUGAAUGUGCAUCGUGAUUGGGGUAGAUGAUUGCAAUUUUUCAUCUUCUACGAGGAAUGCCUAGUAAACGCAAGUCAUCAGCUUGCAUUGAUUACGUCCCUGCCCUUUGUACACACCGCCCGUCGCUCCUACCGAUUGAAUGAUCCGAUGAAUAUCAUGGAUUGAGGAUGCAAGUAGGUUCGCCUAUCUUCAUCUUCGAGAAGUGAAGUAAAUCUUAUCAUUUAGAGGAAGGAGAAGUCGUAACA
rnacentral:rRNA from 1 species